rnacentral:rRNA from 1 species
GUCCACGCCCUAAACGAUGAUUACUCGAUGUUGGCGAUAUACUGUCAGCGUCUUAGCGAAAGCGUUAAGUAAUCCACCUGGGGAGUACGCUCGCAAGAGUGAAACUCAAAGGAAUUGACGGGGUCCGCACAAGCGGUGGAGUAUGUGGUUUAAUUCGAUGAUAACGCGAAGAACCUUACCAAGGUUAGAAUGUUUUGGUACCGCUGCUGAAAGGUGGCUUUCUCUUCGGAGACCGAUUGCAAGGUGCUGCAUGGCUGUCGU